UGCAAAUCUCGAAGCGCUGAGGGGCAGAGAAUGAAUGACACCCCGCCUGGGGUCGGAUUUCAAUUCAAGCCGAAGCCGUAGUCUUCUGGCGGUGCGGGCAGGGGGAAUAUCCCCGAUCCGGCGCGCAUGAUUAUCCACAGCCGAAAAGGCAUGGAUUUAAAAAGAUAAAAAAAAUAAAAAAUAAAAAAUAAAUGAGUAGCAUAGUCUCUCUGCCAGAUUGACGUUUUGUGGCAUUUCAAUUCCCAGGCAAAGGAGCAUCGAUAGAUGGAUGGCUGGAUGGCUGGAUAGACGGGUGGAUGAUCUUGGAUAGGGAGAAUGGCGGAUUGAAUUCCAAUGCCAGCCAAGAUCUCAACAACCGA
rnacentral:sRNA from 1 species